CUGGCCCGUCAUUGGCUGCAGGCCUCCCAGGCCGGCUUGCUGGCUCCAGGGCCCCCGUCCCCGCCGCGGGAGAGAGAGCCGCCUUUACCCGGACAUCUGGACAAGCAAAGGCCACCAGGAGAUGGGAGGCAGAUCCACACGUUUAACCAUGGAGAUAAGGCCGAGUGUGGUGCCCACACCUGUCAUUCCAGCCUCAGAUCUCUUGUGCCCAGGAGUUCCAGACCAGCCUGGGCGGCAUGGCUGGCAACAUGGCCUCCACAAAAAUAAAUACAGCAAAAAAUUUAAAAAUAAAAACAUUGAGAUAAGAAAAAGCA